rnacentral:rRNA from 1 species
UCGGGAAUUUUGGGCAAUGGGCGAAAGCCUGACCCAGCAACGCCGCGUGAAGGACGAAGUCUUUCGGGAUGUAAACUUCGUAAGAAUAGGAAGAAUAAAUGACGGUACUAUUUGUAAGGUCCGGCUAACUACGUGCCAGCAGCCGCGGUAAUACGUAGGGACCAAGCGUUGUUCGGAUUUACUGGGCGUAAAGGGCGCGUAGGCGGCAAUUCAAGUCAGUUGUGAAAUCUCUGAGCUUAACUCAGAACGGUCAACUGAUACUGCUUUGCUAGAGUGCAGAAGGGGCAAUCGGAAUUCUUGGUGUAGCGGUGAAAUGCGUAGAUAUCAAGAGGAACACCUGAGGUGAAGACGGGUUGCUGGGCUGACACUGACGCUGAGGCGCGAAAGCUAGGGUAGCAAACGGG